rnacentral:rRNA from 1 species
UACGAAGGGGGCUAGCGUUGCUCGGAAUUACUGGGCGUAAAGGGAGCGUAGGAGGAUCGUUUAGUCAGAGGUGAAAUCCCGGGGCUCAACCUCGGAACUGCCUUUGAUACUGGCGAUCUUGAGUAUGGGAGAGGUGUGUGGAACUCCGAGUGUAGAGGUGAAAUUCGUAGAUAUUCGGAAGAACACCAGUGGCGAAGGCGACACACUGGCCCAUUACUGACGCUGAGGCUCGAAAGCGUGGGGAGCAAACAGG